GUGGGGAAUAUUGGACAAUGGGCGAAAGCCUGAUCCAGCCAUGCCGCGUGUGUGAAGAAGGUCUUCGGAUUGUAAAGCACUUUAAGUUGGGAGGAAGGGCAGUAAGUUAAUACCUUGCUGUUUUGACGUUACCGACAGAAUAAGCACCGGCUAACUUCGUGCCAGCAGCCGCGGUAAUACGAAGGGUGCAAGCGUUAAUCGGAAUUACUGGGCGUAAAGCGCGCGUAGGUGGUUCAGCAAGUUGGAGGUGAAAUCCCCGGGAUCAACCUGGGAACUGACUCCAAAACUACUGGGCUAGAGUACGGUAGAGGGUAGUGGAAUUUCCUGUGUAGCGGUGAAAUGCGUAGAUAUAGGAAGGAACACCAGUGGCGAAGGCGACUACCUGGACUGAUACUGACACUGAGGUGCGAAAGCGUGGGGAGCAAACAGGAUUAGAAACCCUGGUAGUCC
rnacentral:rRNA from 1 species